AGAGUUGAUCAUGGCUCAGGAUGAACGCUAGCUACAGGCUAACACAUGCAAGUCGAGGGGCAGCAUUGGGGUAGCAAUACUCAGAUGGCGACCGGCGCACGGGUGAGUAACACGUAUCCAACCUGCCGCUUACUCGGGGAUAGCCUUUCGAAAGAAAGAUUAAUACCCGAUGGUAUAAAGAGUUCGCAUGUUCUCUUUAUUAAAGAAUUUCGGUAAGCGAUGGGGAUGCGUUCCAUUAGAUAGUUGGCGGGGUAACGGCCCACCAAGUCUACGAUGGAUAGGGGUUCUGAGAGGAAGGUCCCCCACAUUGGAACUGAGACACGGUCCAAACUCCUACGGGAGGCAGCAGUGAGGAAUAUUGGUCAAUGGACGAGAGUCUGAACCAGCCAAGUAGCGUUAGGAAGGAUGACUGCCCUAUGGGUUGUAAACUUCUUUUAUAAGGGAAUAAAGUGAGGGACGUGUCCCUUUUUGUAUGUACCUUAUGAAUAAGGAUCGGCUAACUCCGUGCCAGCAGCUGC
rnacentral:rRNA from 1 species